UUAAAACGAUUAAACUGAGCCUAUGUUAGACCCAUGUCCAAGGCUUAAAAGCCUCAAAACCUAGCAUUUCAGCACCAAUUCUCCAUUUAUGAGAGUGAGGGGCGGAUAUGAGAAGAGAAGGGGUAGAGGAAUCCUAACACUAUUCAUCACCAUCUUCAUUCGCCCAUUACUUUUGAUACGGAACUCCGAUUGACGAGUCGUUUGUGGCCACACAUCGCUCUCCUCAUCCUCUUCAAUUCUAUGUAAAUAUUGUGUUUUGCAUAGCAAGAAGAGCUUGUGAUUUGUCGGUGAGAAGAAAUAUACAGGAGAAUUUUGAAGAGAAUUGACAAAUAUCAAAGGGAAAAAGAGGCUAGGAAUCACUUUGAGUAAGAAAAACAAGAAGGGAAAGCAACUCAAAGAGCCCUAUGAACCAAACAGAGAGCUCCCUAUACACUGAUUGAUGCGGAAAGAUAACCGUGCAAUAUGGGCAUCUAGGCAUGGAACAGCUAAGCAAAACAAAAAGCAAAAAUUGGAAGUGUGAAGUGCAACCGUGAGACGUGAAGACAUAGCCAUUGUACAUAGGGUUGUUGUGCCUACGCAUCUCAUGCACGUACACACAACCAGUGCAAAAAGGGCCAUCGUGCACACUCGUCUGGCAUGCGUACGCAUGAUAACAUUAGCGUGCAACGUGAGUCUCCAGACAUGAAACGUAAAGAGAGAAUCAAAGGGAGUCAUACGCACGCAUCUAUCAUGCGUAUGCACGAUUAGAGUCAUAGAAAGGUAUCACGUGUAUCUAUCUAGCAUGCGUACGCACGAUUAAAGCCAUAAGGAGCAUCAUACGUACACAUCUGCCAUGCAUACGUACGACACUCAGUUCGUGUCUCAUGUAAAAAUUCAGCCGUGGGACACCUGGGAGCAAAACAGAGGCAAAAAUUAAAGCAAGAUGAAGCCAUGUUCAACGUGGGACUCUCCACGUCUAACGUGAUCAAGACAGAGAGAAAAUUGGACAAGAUUUGACUUCACGUACAAUGUGAAGGGAUUCACGUGUGACGUGGGAUUAUGGGUCACCUCCCGGGGGCUUUAAUUCAUUCAAUUAAGUCCUCCAAUUCUUCAAGACUUAAGUGAUUCACUCAAGGCUCAACUUAAGCUCAAUUAUAGCAUUGAUCGAGAAUCAUGAGGAGAAAGAUUUGAGGCUUAACUGGAGGAGGAGAAACAUUAAUUAGUUUGAUUUGAUUUUGUCUUAAAUUGAUUCCGUUUUAAGUUUUGAAUUUAAAAUUUGUUUUAGGGUUAGUAUAGAAGGGAGAGGACACACACAUUUUUUUUAUUCAGCACUUUUUAUACUUGAUAAUUUUAGGUUUUCUCUAAAAUCAUGAGCAACUAAUCUCCUUGAUUAAGGUUAAGAGCUCUGUUAAUUCCUAUGAACUAAUAUUCUAGCUUUUCUACCUUUGAU